AGGAUUCCCCUAGUAACUGCGAGUGAAGCGGGAAAAGCUCAAAUUUAAAAUCUGAUAGUCUUUGGCUGUCCGAGUUGUAAYCUAGAGAAGUGUUAUCCGCGCUGGACCGUGUACAAGUCUCCUGGAAUGGAGCGUCGUAGAGGGUGAGAAUCCCGUCUUUGACACGGACUGCCAGGGCUUUGUGAUGCGCUCUCAAAGAGUCGAGUUGUUUGGGAAUGCAGCUCAAAAUGGGUGGUAAAUUCCAUCUAAAGCUAAAUAUUGGCGAGAGACCGAUAGCGAACAAGUACCGUGAGGGAAAGAUGAAAAGAACUUUGGAAAGAGAGUUAAACAGUACGUGAAAUUGCUGAAAGGGAAACGCUUGAAGUCAGUCGCGUUGUCCAGGGAUCAACCUUGCUUUUGCUUGGUGCACUUUCUGGUUGACGGGUCAGCAUCAAUUUUGACUAUUGGAAAAAGAUUAGGGGAAUGUGGCAUCUUCGGAUGUGUUAUAGCCCUUGGUUGCAUACAAUGGUUGGGAUUGAGGAACUCAGCACGCCGCAAGGCCGGGUUUUUAACCACGUACGUGCUUAGGAUGCUGGCAUAAUGGCUUUAAUCGACCCGUCUUGAAACACGGACCAAGGAGUCUAACAUGCCUGCGAGUGUUUGGGUGGAAAACCCGAGCGCGUAAUGAAAGUGAAAGUUGAGAUCCCUGUCGUGGGGAGCAUCGACGCCCGGACCAGACCUUUUGUGACGGUUCCGCGGUAGAGCAUGUAUGUUGGGACCCGAAAGAUGGUGAACUAUGCCUGAAUAGGGUGAAGCCAGAGGAAACUCUGGUGGAGGCUCGUAGCGAUUCUGACGUGCAAAUCGAUCGUCAAAUUUGGGUAUAGGG
rnacentral:rRNA from 1 species